CUGCAACAGAGUUUGUUCAAUUCCAGAGAUCAGAAUGGACUGAAACCACUGUGUCCUCAGUGACAAUAUAGCCAAGUGCAUUAUUUUUAAAACAUUUAAAGGAAAAAGAGAAAACACUACAUGGAACUCCGCUGUCUGUUCCAGAAGAAAAGUGGAAAAUAAAAAGUUACUUGAGAUUCUCAUCCCUGCAUUUCCAGCCCUUUAAAAUGACUGAUUCAAGUAGUGAGCCCAGCAGUGUGUGUGUGCUGGUGCAGAGACUCUGUAUCAAAGUGAUGCUGCUCUUCAAAGACCCUCCUUCAUGUGAGCCCUGCAUAGCAGGACAAAUCUUGCUGUUUUAGUGAUUGCUGCAGUGACAAAAGAAGCAAAGCUAGAGAAUCUGGAUACAGCUCUCUGCUCUGAAGAGGGAACUGGCACAAUUACCCCAAGAUGUUUGAACUAGUUAUUGUUCAUCCUAAUGCAUGUACAUUUCCCUUACCUCAGUAAUUUCCAGGCAAAUACUACCUGUGUAUCAAUCACUAGAGAUGAAUUUUGCACACAAGUCCCUUCAGCAUUCCUUUUUUUAAUUUAUUUUAUUUUAACAGCUCUUCAUUUAAACACCACCAGAAAGAGCUCAAAGCAGUGUAACUGACAAACCCGACACCUUUGUGUAAAAAAGCACUGCAAAAAUAGAAACCACAAACCCAACAAGUUCUGUUCCCUGCACCAGCGUCAGUCAAACUGAGUAAUACAUUAGGCUUGCUAAGUCUCUGCUGCCCAUUUCUGCUAUGGACCUUAAUCUGUGGUCUUUGUCUCAGUUACCAAGAAGUAGUCCCUGAUUGCCAAAUAACAAAGAUGAUGAGUA